GAUGAACGCUGGCGGCGUGCCUAAUACAUGCAAGUCGAGCGAACAGACGAGGAGCUUGCUCCUCUGACGUUAGCGGCGGACGGGUGAGUAACACGUGGAUAACCUACCUAUAAGACUGGGAUAACUUCGGGAAACCGGAGCUAAUACCGGAUAAUAUAUUGAACCGCAUGGUUCAGUAGUGAAAGACGGUUUUGCUGUCACUUAUAGAUGGAUCCGCGCCGCAUUAGCUAGUUGGUAAGGUAACGGCUUACCAAGGCGACGAUGCGUAGCCGACCUGAGAGGGUGAUCGGCCACACUGGAACUGAGACACGGUCCAGACUCCUACGGGAGGCAGCAGUAGGGAAUCUUCCGCAAUGGGCGAAAGCCUGACGGAGCAACGCCGCGUGAGUGAUGAAGGUCUUCGGAUCGUAAAACUCUGUUAUUAGGGAAGAACAAAUGUGUAAGUAACUAUGCACGUCUUGACGGUACCUAAUCAGAAAGCCACGGCUAACUACGUG
rnacentral:rRNA from 1 species